UACGUAGGGGGCAAGCGUUGUCCGGAUUUAUUGGGCGUAAAGAGCGUGUAGGCGGUUCGGUAGGUCCGUUGUGAAAACUCGAGGCUCAACCUCGAGACGCCGAUGGAAACCAUCGAACUAGAGUCCGGAAGAGGAGAGUGGAAUUCCUGGAUGUAGCGGUGGAAUGCGUAGAUAUCGGAAGGAACACCUGUGGCGAAAGCGGCUCACUGGACCAUUACUGACGCUGAGGCACGAAAGCUAGGGGAGCAAACAGG
rnacentral:rRNA from 1 species